rnacentral:rRNA from 1 species
UGGGGAAUAUUGGGCAAUGGAGGGAACUCUGACCCAGCCAUGCCGCGUGCAGGAUGAAGGCGUUAUGCGUUGUAAACUGCUUUUAUAUAGGAAGAAAUAGUCCUUGCGAGGAAAGUUGACGGUACUAUAUGAAUAAGCACCGGCUAACUCCGUGCCAGCAGCCGCGGUAAUACGGAGGGUGCAAGCGUUGUCCGGAUUUAUUGGGUUUAAAGGGUGCGUAGGCGGUUUAUUAAGUCAGUGGUGAAAGACGGUCGCUCAACGAUUGCAGUGCCAUUGAUACUGGUAGACUUGAGUAUGAUUGAGGUAGCUGGAAUGGAUAGUGUAGCGGUGAAAUGCAUAGAUAUUAUCCAGAACACCAAUUGCGUAGGCAAGUUACUAAGUCAUAACUGACGCUGAGGCACGAAAGUGUGGGUAUCAAACAGGAUUAGAUACCCCAGUAGUCCCUGAGCGGGCUGGCAAGGCGCAU